rnacentral:rRNA from 1 species
UACGGAGGGUGCGAGCGUUGUCCGGAAUCACUGGGCGUAAAGGGCGCGUAGGCGGUGACUUAAGCGUGUGGUGAAAGCCCGGGGCUCAACCCCGGGUCGGCCGUGCGAACUGGGUCACUUGAGCACUGUAGAGGCAGGUGGAAUUCCGGGUGUAGCGGUGGAAUGCGUAGAGAUCCGGAAGAACACCAGUGGCGAAGGCGGCCUGCUGGGCAGUAGCUGACGCUGAGGCGCGACAGCGUGGGGAGCAAACAGG